AACUCGGCUGCAUGAAGACUGGAAUCGCUAGUAAUCGCAGAUCAGAAUGCUGCGGUGAAUACGUUCCCGGGUCUUGUACACACCGCCCGUCACACCAUGGGAGUUGGAAAUGCCCGAAGUCAGUGACCGAACCGAAAGGAAGGAGCUGCCGAAGGUGGAGCCGAUGACUGGGGUGAAGUCGUAACAAGGUAAC
rnacentral:rRNA from 1 species